rnacentral:rRNA from 1 species
GACGAACGCUGGCGGCGUGCUUAACACAUGCAAGUCGAACGGAAAGGCCCUGCUUGCGGGGUACUCGCGUAGCGAACGGGUGAGUAACACGUGGGUGGUCUGCCCUGCACUUCGGGAUAAGCCUGGGAAACUGGGUCGAAUACCGAAUAGGUGACAUAUUUAGUGUGAUGGUUGGAAAGUUUUUUCGGUGUAGGAUGAGCUGGCGGGCUAUCAGCUUGUUGGUGGGGUAAUGGCCUACCAAGGCGGCGGCGGGUAGCCGGCCUGAGAGGGUGGACGGCCACAUAGGGACCUAGGGGCGGCACAGGCUCGGACGGGAGGCAGCAGUGGGGAAUAUUGAACAAUGGGCGCAAGGCUGAUGCAGCGAGGCCUCGUGUGGUAUGACGGUCUUCUGGUUGUAAACUCCUUUCGCAAGGGACGAUGCUUUUUGUGACGGUACCUAGAUAAGAAGCACCGGCUAACUACGUG